rnacentral:rRNA from 1 species
AGAGUUUGAUCCUGGCUCAGGAUGAACGCUGGCGGCGUGCUUAACACAUGCAAGUCGAACGCACAUAUCUUUCGGGGUGUGUGAGUGGCAGACGGGUGCGUAACACGUAGGUGACCUGCCUUCAAGUGGGGAAUAACUGUCCUAACGGAUGGCUAAUACCGCAUAUGUUCCCGGCGUCGCGUCGGGAGUAAAGCAGCAAUGCGCUUGGAGAGGGGCCUGCGGCGGAUUAGCUAGUUGGUGGGGUAACGGCCUACCAAGGCGAUGAUCCGUAGGGGGCGUGAGAGCGUGGCCCCCCACACUGGCACUGAGAUACGGGCCAGACUCCUACGGGAGGCAGCAGUGAGGAAUAUUGCACAAUGGGCGCAAGCCUGAUGCAGCAACGCCGCGUGCGGGACGAAGGCCUUCGGGUCGUAAACCGCUUUUCUGGGGAAAGAGCAAGGACGGUACCUCAGGAAUAAGUCUCGGCUAACUACGUGCCAGCAGCCGCGGUAAAACGUAGGAGGCGAGCGUUAUCCGGAUUUACUGGGCGUAAAGCGCACGCAGGCGGCUCUGUGAGUCGGACGUGAAAGCUCCCGGCUUAACCGGGAGAGGCCGUUCGAUACUGCGGGGCUUGAGGUAGGGAGAGGAAUGCGGAAUUCCCGGUGUAGUGGUGGAAUGCGUAGAUAUCGGGAGGAACACCUGUGGCGAAAGCGGCAUUCUGGCCCUCACCUGACGCUGAGGUGCGAAAGCGUGGGUAGCAAACAGGAUUAGAUACCCUGGUAGUCCACGCCGUAAACGAUGUCAACUGGGUGUCGGUAGUUUUACACUAGCGGUGCCGAAGCUAACGCGUUAAGUUGACCGCCUGGGGACUACGGCCGCAAGGCUAAAACUCAAAGGAAUUGACGGGGGCCCGCACAAGCAGCGGAGCGUGUGGUUUAA